rfam:Hordeum vulgare subsp. vulgare, WGS project CAJW01000000 data, contig: morex_contig_368956
UAAUUACUCCAUCGGUCCUAAAAUUCUUGUCUUAGGUUUGUUUACAAAUGGAUGUAUCUAAAUACUAAGACUAGAUACAUUCAUAUCUAAAAAAAAUAAGACAAAAUUUUUGUGACGGAGGGAGUAUUAG